rnacentral:tRNA from 1 species
GUCCCCGUCAUCUAGAGGCCUAGGAUACCGCCCUUUCACGGCGAGAACAGGGGUUCGAAUCCCCUCGGGGACG